AUGAAAAGAUUUUUCCACACUACAAUCCAGCCUUUGGACUCUUUGAGGUUGUCCCAUCCUGAUUCUUAUGAUUAAUAUGUCAAUAUGUGCAUGCCAAAUAAGCAUUGUAAAUUCCUUUGACUAAAAACACCAUGAGUCCUGUUCUUCAGGCUGUGUUCCUACUACAAAAUCUGCUCUGGGAAAAGGUCUGGAUAUGUCAGUGACUUUUCUGGCCCAUAUACUAGUGGAUAUAUUGUACCCAUAAUUCUGAUGUCUGGUUUCUCCCCUGAGUGUCUCAAGUUUGUGCAUGGGAUAACUGGAAUGAACUCAAUAUCUCAUGGCAUCAAAACAAUGUGCCUGACAUAAUGACAUUUGGAUAAUGGCAAUUUUAAGCACCCUCACUUAAACUCUGUUUCCCAUCACCAUGAAAAUAUGUUCUGCUCUUUUGAUGCUGAUGUAUAAGCACUUGUUAUUUGUGUCUUGAUGUUUACUCCUGAUGUAUGUUUCAGUUAAAAAAAAUCCUUAACCUUCCUCAUUCAGUUUUGAUGUAAUGCAUAAUUUUAUCAAUAAAUACUCCUGGAA